GACGAACGCUGGCGGCAGGCUUAACACAUGCAAGUCGAGCGGGGAAGGGUAGCUUGCUACCUGACCUAGCGGCGGACGGGUGAGUAAUGCUUAGGAAUCUGCCUAUUAGUGGGGGACAACAUCCCGAAAGGAAUGCUAAUACCGCAUACGCCCUACGGGGGAAAGCAGGGGAUCUUCGGACCUUGCGCUAAUAGAUGAGCCUAAGUCAGAUUAGCUAGUUGGUGGGGUAAAGGCCUACCAAGGCGACGAUCUGUAGCGGGUCUGAGAGGAUGAUCCGCACACUGGGACUGAGACACGGCCCAGACUCCUACGGGAGGCAGCAGUGGGGAAUAUUGGACAAUGGGCGAAAGCCUGAUCCAGCCAUGCCGCGUGUGUGAAGAAGGCCUUUUGGUUGUAAAGCACUUUAAACGAGGAGGAGGCUACUUGGAUUAAUACUCUAGGAUAGUGGACGUUACUCGCAGAAUAAGCACCGGCUAACUCUGUGCCAGCCGCCGCAGUAA
rnacentral:rRNA from 1 species